rnacentral:rRNA from 1 species
AUACGGAGGGUGCAAGCGUUAAUCGGAAUUACUGGGCGUAAAGCGUACGUAGGCGGUUCGUUAAGUUAGAUGUGAAAGCCCCGGGCUUAACCUGGGAACUGCAUUUAAAACUGGCGAACUAGAGUUGAGUAGAGGGGAGUGGAAUUUCAGGUGUAGAGGUGAAAUGCGUAGAGAUCUGAAGGAACACCAGUGGCGAAGGCGGCUCCCUGGACUCAAACUGACGCUGAGGUACGAAAGCGUGGGUAGCAAACGGGAUUAGAAACCCUAGUAGUCC